rnacentral:rRNA from 1 species
AAUGAACGCUGGCGGCGUGCUUAACACAUGCAAGUCGAACGGAAAGGCCCAAGCUUGCUUGGGUACUCGAGUGGCGAACGGGUGAGUAACACGUGGGUGAUCUGCCCUGCACUUCGGGAUAAGCCUGGGAAACUGGGUCUAAUACCGGAUAGGACGAUGGUUUGGAUGCCAUUGUGGAAAGUUUUUUCGGUGUGGGAUGAGCUCGCCGCCUAUCAGCUUGUUGGUGGGGUAAUGGCCUACCAAGGCGUCGACGGGUAGCCGGCCUGGGAGGGUGUACGGCCACAUUGGGACUGAGAUACGGCCCAGACUCCUACGGGAGGCAGCAGGGGGGAAUAUUGCACAAUGGGCGCAGGCCUGAUGCAGCGACGCCGCGUGGGGGAUGACGGCCUUCGGGUUGUAAACUCCUUUCGCUAGGGACGAAGCGUUUUUGUGACGGUACCUGGAGAAGAAGCACCGGCUAACUACGUG